CAUAUGGAAGAUCAAAUGGGUUAGUUGAUAUAUGAUUGAUUGUGUAUGGUUGAGGCACUUCCAUCUUGGGAUUCUCUGAAGGAGUAUAUGUUGGCUCCAGGACAUUGUCCAAUGGUCCAUUCAGACCAGAGAGUCCUUCAUACAGAGCAGCUCCUUGAAUCCCAUAUUUACUAGGGUCCUCUGAAGCCUUCAAUCCCAAAUACUG
rnacentral:misc_RNA from 1 species